rnacentral:rRNA from 1 species
CCCACUGGCCAUGCUACCCUGAAUGUGCCUGAUCUUGUCUGAUCUCAGAAGCUAAGCUGGGUCAGGCCUGGUUAGUUCCUGGAUGGGAGGU